AGUCGCUGAUUCAACUUUUUAUGUUGGUCCCAAUAUAGAGAGAUGCACACCACAUAAGCCAGGAAUGAUGCCAAAAGUCAGGUGUCUGCCGUCCAGCAGCAUGAUAUUUGCUUAUAAACAAGCUUUAUCAAACAUCGGGCGACACGUGGAGUGAGGCACCAUCUA
rnacentral:sRNA from 1 species